CCCCCCCCCCCCCCCGGCGGGGGCCCGAGUUGUAGUCUGCAGAGGAUGCCCUGGGCGCGGCGCCUUCCGAGUUCCCUGGAACGGGACGCCACAGAGGGUGAGAGCCCCGUCCGGUCGGACGCCAGGCCCGUGUAGGGCUCCUUCGACGAGUCGAGUAGUUUGGGAAUGCUGCUCAAAGUGGGAGGUAUAUGUCUUCUAAAGCUAAAUACCGGCCAGAGACCGAUAGCGCACAAGUAGAGUGAUCGAAAGAUGAAAAGCACUUUGGAAAGAGGGUUAAAGAGCACGUGAAAUUGCUGAAAGGGAAGCGCCCGCGACCAGACUUGGGCCCGGCAGGUCACCCAGGCUCUCGGGCCAGGGGCACUCUGCCGGGCGCAGGCCAGCAUCGGCUCGGCGCGGGGGACAAAGGCGGCGGGAACGUGGCUCCUCAGGGAGUGCUUAUAGCCCGCCGCGCCAUGCCCCGUGCCGGGCCGAGGCACGCGCACCGCAAGGAUGCUGGCGUAAUGGUCGCCGGCGACCCGUCUUGAAACACGGACCAAGGAGUCGUCCUCGUAUGCGAGUGUUGGGGUGCCAAACCCCUACGCGCAGUGAAAGCGAACGCAGGUGAGAGCCGAAGCCUCGGCGCAUCAUCGACCGAUCCUGAUGUUGUCGGAUGGAUUUGAGUAGGAGCAUACGGGGCCGGACCCGAAAGAAGGUGAACUAUGCCUGUGUAGGGUGAAGCCAGAGGAAACUCUGGUGGAGGCUCGCAGCGGUUCUGACGUGCGAAUCGAUCGUCAAACAUGGGCAUGGGGGCGAAAGACUAA
rnacentral:rRNA from 1 species